GACGAACCGUGCGAACGUUAUUCGGAAUCACUGGGCUUAAAGCGCGUGUAGGCGGAUGGGCACGUCGGUAGUUGAAAGCCCCCGGCUCAACCGGGGAAGUGGUGCCGAAACGACCCGCCUGGAGGGACGUAGGGGGACCUGGAACUUCCGGUGGAGCGGUGAAAUGCGUUGAGAUCGGAAGGAACGCCCGUGGCGAAAGCGAGGUCCUGGACGUCUACUGACGCUGAGACGCGAAAGCUAGGGGAGCAAACGGG
rnacentral:rRNA from 1 species